UUGCGCAAGAUCCACUGCAAAAAUGGGUGCCAGAGGCAGUAGAAGACGGAUCGUGACAAACAAGAAUGGUGUAAUUAGCAACGUCAUCUGUUGUGUCUAUGUGGCAGAUUGUCCAGUGACAACCAGGCGUGCGAUCAGUUCCAAAAUAUGUGUCACCUGUAUGAGAAAGACCAACAUUGAUGGAGAAUAAAACUUUGCUCGGUAAAUUAUCACGGCAACGAAAUCUCCGAAAUUGCUUUGGGUCUGUCUUUAAAACACCAUUCAAGAAUAUACAUUGCCCCUCGGGUGGUAUUGAAUUCAAUGUGAAGGGGUCUGUGUCAUCGUCUGGUGAAACUACUCCGUUAACCGUUGUUGCUGUUCUCAUUUUUUUCACUUUGGGAAGAUAAUACUCGAAAGCAUCGCCUCUUGUUAAGCCGCUGAUGUUUGCGCUUACCAGACGUCUAGAAUUGUGUCUUAAAGAACGUACCUGCAGAGCAUUAAAAUCCUAAGAGCCUAUUCAUAAUAGGCACCCUUGAUAGGAGUUUUUAAAUUUAACUUGUGUUCUGUAAAUUACAAUAAAAUUCUUUGUAAAGACGUUUUUCCGUGUGUUGGUUACUAUAUUAAUCUGGGUCACUUUUCCUUUUUUGAAAAAUUGAAAUACGGAUAGUAAAC